GACGAACGCUGGCGGCGUGCUUAACACAUGCAAGUCGAACGGAAAGGCCCUGCUUUUGUGGGGUGCUCGAGUGGCGAACGGGUGAGUAACACGUGAGUAACCUGCCCUUGACUUUGGGAUAACUUCAGGAAACUGGGGCUAAUACCGGAUAGGAGCUCCUGCUGCAUGGGGGGGGUUGGAAAGUUUCGGCGGUUGGGGAUGGACUCGCGGCUUAUCAGCUUGUUGGUGGGGUAGUGGCUUACCAAGGCUUUGACGGGUAGCCGGCCUGAGAGGGUGACCGGCCACAUUGGGACUGAGAUACGGACCAGACUCCUACGGGAGGCAGCAGUGGGGAAUAUUGCACAGUGGGCGGAAGCCUGAUGCAGCAACGCCGCGUGCGGGAUGACGGCCUUCGGGUUGUAAACCGCUUUCGCCUGUGACGAAGCGUGAGUGACGGUAAUGGGUAAAGAAGCACCGGCUAACUACGUG
rnacentral:rRNA from 1 species